GCCCGCCCAAACCCAACGCCAACACGGAGCCAGUAGAACCGAGGAAGCGCGCGCCGCUCCAAGCAUCCCUUGUCCCGUAAGUGUUGGAGUAAGAGGAACAAAGUUGCAGUAAUUUAUGACAGAAGGCUUUAUGGCAGGGCUAAGUUCGCACAUGCGUACAAACGUGCACCAUAAACUUUGCUAAGCCCCUACAGCUUGGGAAAGGAAUGAUACGUCGUGCACCCCCACAAAAGGAGUUUCAAUGACGAUGGCACAAUCGCAACAACAACAGGGCAACAAUCGGCGAGUACCUGACGCCCAUUAGCAAAUCCUUUCGCCACGAUUGCAAGCAUUCAGUGCACCUGAUGAGUUCGAUAAACUGUAGCGGAAAGCAAUUCCGUGAAGGGACCAAAUGUUUCAAGAUUUCACUGACACCCACCCUCUCUUUGUUCCUGCUUUACAUUCGAAAUAGCACCCCAAACCUUCCAUCUCUUUUGAGUACAGCGGCCAUCUUGUACACACAUCUCUUUCUAGCAUGAGUUUCAAUAUGGCGGAUGCUGCGCGGGUGGGGUGGCUUCCGGAGGGUGUAUGAAGUUGCCGCGAAAUUAGAUGACUUUUAGGGGGAAGUAAUCAAUAUUAGAAACUUUUGUUAUGGACGGACGCAC